UGGGGAAUUUUGGACAAUGGGCGCAAGCCUGAUCCAGCCAUGCCGCGUGCGGGAAGAAGGCCUUCGGGUUGUAAACCGCUUUUGUCAGGGAAGAAAUCUUCUGAGUUAAUACCUCGGGAGGAUGACGGUACCUGAAGAAUAAGCACCGGCUAACUACGUGCCAGCAGCCGCGGUAAUACGUAGGGUGCAAGCGUUAAUCGGAAUUACUGGGCGUAAAGCGUGCGCAGGCGGUUUUGUAAGACAGAGGUGAAAUCCCCGGGCUCAACCUGGGAACUGCCUUUGUGACUGCAAGGCUUGAAUGCGGCAGAGGGGGAUGGAAUUCCGCGUGUAGCAGUGAAAUGCGUAGAUAUGCGGAGGAACACCGAUGGCGAAGGCAAUCCCCUGGGCCUGCACUGACGCUCAUGCACGAAAGCGUGGGGAGCAAACAGGAUUAGAUACCCUGGUAGUCCACGCCCUAAACGAUGUCAACUGGUUGUUGGGAAGGUUCCUUCUCAGUAACGUAGCUAACGCGUGAAGUUGACCGCCUGGGGAGUACGGCCGCAAGGUUGAAACUUAAAUGAAUUGACGGGGUCAUAGCUGUUUCCUG
rnacentral:rRNA from 1 species